rnacentral:rRNA from 1 species
GACGAACGCUGACGGUGUGCUUUAGACAUGCAAGUCGAACGAGAAAGCCCUUCGGGUUAGUAAAGUGGCGAACGGGUGAGUAACACGUGGGCAAUCUGCCCCUCGCAGGGGGACAACCGGAGGAAACUCCGGCUAAUACCCCGUAAGUUCAAAGGGAGGCAUCUCUCUUCGAAGAAAGGUAGCUUCGGCCAUCCGGCGAGGGAUGAGCCCGCGGUGCAUUAGCUAGUUGGUGGGGUAACGGCCUACCAAGGCGACGAUGCAUAGCUGGUCUGAGAGGAUGAUCAGCCACACUGGGACUGAGACACGGCCCAGACUCCUACGGGAGGCAGCAGUCGGGAAUCUUGCGCAAUGGGCGAAAGCCUGACGCAGCAACACCGUGUGUGUGAGGAAGG